UGUGCAGCUCCCCGAGCGGGGUCUGUGCCCCCAGGGCACCGCAUGGACCGCCUCGCUCCCUCCCCAGCCUGCCGGGAGAUGAAGAGUAUGUGUCCAAAAUUUCUGCUGCUGGGGCAGGCUGAGGAGCACCCCUCGCCUUUUCCUUAGGCCUCCUGGGAGAUUCUGCUGCAUUGCUGCUUCUGAAGGGCCAGAGCUCCAUGGCACUGCCUGUGUCCCUGCACGUGGCCCUGGGUGAUGAGCUCCAGACAUGGGAUAAGGAGGAGGAACCACAGCCAAGGCUUGGGUUCUUAGAUGGGAGCAAUGAUUCAUCUGGAAUCCGGACCGGCUCGAGCAGCUCCAAGAUGUUGCUGGCAGUGCAAGAGAGCAGCAGGAACAGCACAGGGGCUCUAAAUCAGGCUGGUGGAGGUGGCUUCUGCCUCCUACUCCAGAUUUAUGUGUCAAGUUCUCUUGGAAAGUCCAUGCCCACCCUGCAGAUCUGCACAUGGAGGACAGCAAAGGCAAGGGGAAGCAGGAGAGGGGCAGUCCCGCUCUGCCCCUCGAGGCUAUUCCUACCCUAAAAAUAUGGCCUUCCCCAACUUCUUGGCCUUCCCCAACUUCUUGGAGAUGUCUCUACAAUUUUCAUUCCAGUUUCCAGUGAGAUUUAAAAAAAUUAGCUCAAUAAAAUGUGAUUUAAUUCUGAGAGUUCCUUGGGUACAUUGGAAGCAAGUCCCACAGUGCCACAUUUUUGAGCACCAAACCCCAUUAAGAAUUUAAGGGUCCCAUUCCCCAGGCUCUGUCCUGGUUUUUUAACUGGCCUUUAAUGUUGGGUGGUGGUGCUUUGUACUAUUUUUUUCUGGCCUUAGGGAAUAACACUUCCUACUAAUGAGAAAUCACAACUUGAAGUAAAAAGUCCUUUCACUAAACCUCAUCUAUUUAAAUAGGGACCAAUUAUGCAUCCCAAAUCCCAUCAGUAAUCUGGUCACCUUCUCCAACUCCCAUCAUUAGCCCAUCAAGUUUGACAUGAGGGGGUGUUCAAAUGGAUGAAAGUUUCCUCAGUAAAUACUCCAGAGCUGCCUGACACAGAGGACAAACCCCACAAGUGAAUAAAUGAAGCCUUCCAAAUACACAGUGACAAAUGACCAAGAUUUGCAAGACAUGGACACAACUGAACAUUAAAAGCAAGAAAUUAAUAUUAAAUGCAACACAUGUCCAGCAGGAAGAUGAAUGUUCCUAAAAUCCCUCUGUGGGGGCAGUUUUAAGGAGCAAAUGUGUAAGAGCUUCCCAGACAAUUUCCAGAGGAUUCCUACUACCUGCAUGUGCCAAUGAGCACAUAGACCCAACACACUGCAGAGGUGUGAGGCAUAAAAAAUAAAAAAAAAUGUUUUCAACUUGCCACUGGAGUGGCCUUAAGGACCUCAGCUCCAGCGGUUUUCCUGAGACUUAUCAUUGUUCCCGAAUCAAUCACCUUCCUGUGAUCCCAUAUUUGGAAGCAGUUUUACCUUUCUGAAGAAAUUCACAGCUAAAUAAAAGCCUUUCAGCUCCAGGCCAUUCCAAGUUCAGGGAUUUGUCCACAGCAGCUGAAAGAACACUGGGUUUCUAUUCGAGCAGCAACUACCUUCUAUCACUCCAACCUGUAAAUCCCUUAAAAUCAUCACCUAGCUUUAAAGGGCAGUGCUUCCCAGCAAUCACAGCAGCUCCUAGCUCUAAGCAAGCAUGGGCACUGCAGCUGAGGAGCAGAGGUGAGCCAGGGAGGUGCCAGCAGAGCCCCAGGCCCGCGUUUAGUUCGUUAGUCGCAGCGCACAAGCCAUGCUCAGCCAGAGAGGGCACUUCCACCUCAGAAUGCCACCACUGACAACCAGUCUGUACUUCAGCAGAGCCCGUGCUUUGUUAGAGGACAGCUCAGCUUGCUUAGCCCACUCUCUUUGAAAGAAAGGCUGAAGAAUAAGGAGAGUUGCACAAAACCCUUGCCCGCGUUCGGCGCUGAAGCAGCACAGCCCCAGGACACGCUUCCUCGGACAAGG